CAUCCUGCGAGGUGGAUGUCCAUCCGGGUCCCGGCUCCCCGGUGACGUCAGCGGGGCAGGCUGGCCCUUGUAAAUAAUGGCGAGUCUCUGAGAGCGGGGCGGCUGCGGAGAGUGGGGAGAGCAAAAUAAAAAUGGAGCUGAGAGUUGGGAACAAAUACAGGCUGGGCAGGAAGAUUGGCAGCGGCUCCUUUGGUGACAUUUAUCUGGGUGCAAACAUCGCUACUGGGGAAGAGGUUGCAAUAAAGCUGGAAUGUGUCAAAACAAAACACCCCCAACUCCACAUUGAGAGCAAGUUUUACAAAAUGAUGCAAGGAGGUGGUG